GAGCUUCCCCUUCCGGGGCAAAGUGACAGGUGGUGCAUGGUUGUCGUCAGCUCGUGUCGUGAGAUGUUGGGUUAAGUCCCGCAACGAGCGCAACCCUUAUUGUUAGUUGCCAUCAUUUAGUUGGGCACUCUAGCGAGACUGCCGGUGACAAACCGGAGGAAGGUGGGGAUGACGUCAAAUCAUCAUGGCCCUUAUGACCUGGGCUACACACGUGCUACAAUGGGAAGUACAACGAGUCGCGAAGUCGCGAGGCUAAGCUAAUCUCUUAAAGCUUCUCUCAGUUCGGAUUGUAGGCUGCAACUCGCCUACAUGAAGCCGGAAUCGCUAGUAAUCGCGGAUCAGCACGCCGCGGUGA
rnacentral:rRNA from 1 species